rnacentral:rRNA from 1 species
UAGGGAAUCUUCGGCAAUGGACGAAAGUCUGACCGAGCAACGCCGCGUGAGUGAAGAAGGUUUUCGGAUCGUAAAACUCUGUUGUUAGAGAAGAACAAGGACGUUAGUAACUGAACGUCCCCUGACGGUAUCUAACCAGAAAGCCACGGCUAACUACGUGCCAGCAGCCGCGGUAAUACGUAGGUGGCAAGCGUUGUCCGGAUUUAUUGGGCGUAAAGCGAGCGCAGGCGGUUUCUUAAGUCUGAUGUGAAAGCCCCCGGCUCAACCGGGGAGGGUCAUUGGAAACUGGGAGACUUGAGUGCAGAAGAGGAGAGUGGAAUUCCAUGUGUAGCGGUGAAAUGCGUCGAUAUAUGGAGGAACACCAGUGGCGAAGGCGGCUCUCUGGUCUGUAACUGACGCUGAGGCUCGAAAGCGUGGGGAGCAAACAGG